CAGAUCCAAUGACUUUGCUUUGGACUAGAUGCGACUGUUAGUCUUACUUUGACAACUGACACACCAAAGAGUCCAACUGAAAGAGGUCAAAGCUCCACAGACAGCGUUGUGAAUUCAAACAGUCAAAAAAGAGUUUUGGCGGUGCAAUUAUGGCAGACAGCAGUGGGUAUGUCUUCUGGAGUGGGUGUGUUCUUGAUGGGAUUGACAGCUGUCUAUCUCUGCAGG